rnacentral:rRNA from 1 species
CCUACGGGAGGCAGCAGUGGGGAAUAUUGCACAAUGGGGGAAACUCUGAUGCAGCGACGCCGCGUGAGUGAAGAAGUAUUUCGGUAUGUAAAGCUCUAUCAGCAGGGAAGAAAAUGACUGUACCUGAUUAAGAAGCUCCGGCUAACUACGUGCCAGCAACCGCGGUAAGACGGAGGGGGCCAGCGUUAUCCGGAUUUACUGGGUGUAAAGGGAGCGUAGACGGCAGCACAAGUCAGGAGUGAAAUGCCGGGGCUUAACCCCGGAACUGCGUUUGAAACUGUGCAGCUAGAGUGCAGGAGAGGUAAGUGGAAUUCGUAGUGUAGCGGUGAAAUGCGUAGAUAUUAGGAGGAACACCAGUGGCGAAGGCGGCUUACUGGACUGUAACUGACGUUGAGGCUCGAAAGCGUGGGGAGCAAACAGGAUUAGAUACCCUAGUAGUC